UAAAAUUCAAGUUUGUAUCUAAGUAAUUGUACCCAUUUACAUUAAGUCUGAAGGCAGACAAGGUAAGAGUAGCAGUCAGGAAGAACUACUUCAGACUACUGCAGGUGACCUGGUUUCAGCCAGGGCAGGGUUAAUUUUUUGCAGUAGCUGGGAGGGGGCGUGGCCGAGGGGGCAUGGCCAGGACCCAGAUGUUAUUUUAUACCAUGUCACAGUCAUUGGUGGGGGGAAGGGCUUCUUGAUUCUGAGGAGAAGGGCAUUCUUUCUGUUCAGGAAAAUGGGGUGAGGGGAAGCUGUCUGCCACUGUUUAUUGUCUGGGCUCCUUGAUUGGUGCCGUGACUAGGAUCAAAGAAACUGCGGGAGAAUCUCACUGUCCAGGACGGGUACCCCCGCUGAUUUUGGCGGCCUGGGGAGUCAAGAGCCUCCGCAGUUCGUUCCGACUUCCGAACCAAAUUUAGGCUAAGGCAAAAACCACAAUAAAAAGAGAGACGGAUCCAGAGAGCUCGGGAAGGCACGGAGCCUUCGAGAAAGCCGCGGCUUGGUAGCUGGUAAAAGGUCGACAGUGCACGAAGACGCCCUCGCAGGAAAUAGCUGAGCUGAGGAAAAGAGGACUGAUUCCCCAAAGUGCAACGUUAGGAUUUCCAAUCCACCAGAUACAGCCUGGGGAUAAAGUCCUGAUCAAGGCGUGGAAGGAGCAUCCCCUCAGCCCUCACUGGGAGGGACCAUUUCUCGUCCUCCUGACAACAGAUACCGCGGUUCGGACUGCCGAAAGGGGCUGGACACACUCAUCUCGGGCGAAGAAAGUAACGGAUUACAAUUCCUCCGAGUGGAAAGUCACCACCCCUCCGGGAGAGUUGAAAAUUAAACUCCGGCGUCACCACAAAUGACAAGUGAAGGGCAGAUAAGUUGUAUUAAUCCUGAUUGUUAUUGUUUUCCAUUUGUCCAUUUCAAGUGUGCUUAUUGUAACCAUAUUUGGGUGGCUCACUGUUUGGGAGGGUACAAACCCAAGGGGUCGUGCACCAAGUGUCUAGAAAAAGAACAAGAGCAAACUAACCUUUUCCUAAUACUUGCCACCCGGGCGGGGAUUUUGGAACUCGACUCUCCCGAGUGGUUCCUGUUUUUCCAAAAGGGUUUGAGAGGCAAACUAGAUUGUAAAGCAGAACCUUCAGUAAUCAAGUGUCGUAGAACGAUAAAAGUACCGUGUAAGACAGAUAUGAUCAAAGCGUCUCGGUGGGCUGCCUUUAAGAGAAGGUACGCCAUAAGGACUUCAAGGGCCCCUGAAGACAGUCCUUGCUGCUGAGAAGAUGGCAAUCCCCGCCGUAUGUUCUUAUACGGGCGAAGGGCGAGGCAGAGGGAUGCAAUGGUGGGGAAUCCUGACAGUCCUGAGUCUAGCCAUGUGCUUGGCCGAGGGAACGAGUCCCGAGGCACCUCUGGGGGAGCGUCCUCUGGGGAAGUGUGAGCAGUGUCGGACUGCCACAGUUACCGAACGAAUGAUCAACUGUCCUCCGGAACUACGAGCGGGGUUAUGCUGGGCUAAUGGCACUCAGUAUAAUCUGUGUAAAUUGGAGGGGGAGGUUUGGUGUUCCCGCCCAGGGGCAAGUUUUAAAGACAGGCAGUUUCAAACUCUGGAAGGACAAAAGACCCAAACAACCCACUUCAGAAACAAAAGGGAAGUGGGGGGAGUCCCUCCGAUCUCAAUUUUCGGUCAAUGUAAUAAAACCGUUUGGAUCGGAGGUAAAAGGCAAUCUACCUUCAUCGCAUACUACCAAAUCAACCCUCUGUGUUAUAAUAAAGCAAACUUGAAAACGUGUACUAUGGGUGGAAAAAUGUAUUGGGAAGGAAGAAAUUUGAAACAUGAAGCAAAAGCUUCCUUCAACAAUGAACCCAUAAUUCUAGAUUUGUUAAAAAAUGAUGACGACCUGUGGCAGCGGCCUCAGGGAGACAAGGAGUUACAUUGUCCCACCCCAAACCCCUUGUGAAGGGCGGCCCAGGAGUUCUGAUUGGGUUUGAGUCCCUGGGGGGUUCU